CCUACGGGGGGCUGCAGUUAAGAAUCUUGCGCAAUGGGGGCAACCCUGACGCAGCGACGCCGCGUGAAGGAUGAAGGCUUUCGGGUUGUAAACUUCGGUAGACUGGGAAGAAGAACUACGUUCGUUGAGGGCGUAGAGUGACGGUACCAGUCUGAAGCCCCGGCUAAUUACGUGCCAGCAGCCGCGGUAAUACGUAUGGGGCAAGCGUUGUUCGGAAUUAUUGGGCGUAAAGGGCUCGCAGGUGGUUUGUUAAGUUGGUGGUUUAAUCUCUGGGC
rnacentral:rRNA from 1 species